GACGAACGCUGGCGGCGUGCUUAACACAUGCAAGUCGAGCGGUAAGGCCCUUUCGGGGGUACACGAGCGGCGAACGGGUGAGUAACACGUGGGUGACCUGCCCUCAGCUCUGGGAUAAGCCUGGGAAACCGGGUCUAAUACUGGAUAUGACUCCAUGGCGCAUGUUGGUGGGGUGGAAAGCCUUGUGCGGCUGAGGAUGGGCCCGCGGCCUAUCAGCUUGUUGGUGGGGUGANGGCCUACCAAGGCGACGACGGGUAGCCGGCCUGAGAGGGCGACCGGCCACACUGGGACUGAGACACGGCCCAGACUCCUACGGGAGGCAGCAGUGGGGAAUCUUGCGCAAUGGGCGAAAGCCUGACGCAGCGACGCCGCGUGAGGGAUGACGGCC
rnacentral:rRNA from 1 species